UACGUAGGGCGCAAGCGUUGUCCGAAUUUACUGGGCGUAAAGCGCACGUAGGCGGCUUUUCAAGUCGGAUGUGAAAUCCCUCGGCUUAACCAAGGAAGUGCAUCCGAAACUGGAAGGCUUGAGUACUUAAGAGGAUCGCGGAAUUCCCGGUGUAGAGGUGAAAUUCGUAGAUAUCGGGAGGAACACCAGUGGCGAAGGCGGCGAUCUGGGAAGAUACUGACGCUGAGGUGCGAAAGCGUGGGGAGCAAACAGG
rnacentral:rRNA from 1 species